rnacentral:rRNA from 1 species
UCUGACGGAGCACGCCGCGUGAGUGAUGAAGGUUUUCGGAUCGUAAAACUUGGUAGGGAAGAACAAGUACGAUAGAACUGAUCGACCUUGACGGUACCUAACCAGAAAGCCACGGCUAACUACGUGCCAGCAGCCGCGGUAAUACGUAGGUGGCAAGCGUUGUCCGGAAUUAUUGGGCGUAAAGCGCUCGCAGGCGGUCCUUUAAGUCUGAUGUGAAAUCUCGCGGCUCAACCGCGAACGGUCAUUGGAAACUGGAGGACUUGAGUACAGAAGAGGAGAGUGGAAUUCCACGUGUAGCGGUGAAAUGCGUAGAGAUGUGGAGGAACACCAGUGGCGAAGGCGACUCUCUGGUCUGUAACUGACGCUGAGGAGCGAAAGCGUGGGGAGCGAACAGGAUUAGAUACCCUGGUAGUCCACGCCGUAAACGAUGAGUGCUAGGUGUGGGGGUUUCCCCCCUUAUGAGUUAACGCAUAACACUCCG